AACCUCCGCAAUGUGAGAAAUCGCGACGGGGGGAUCCCAAGUGCCAUUCUUAACGGGAUGGCUUUUCAUUAGUGUAAAGAGCUUUUGGAAUAAGAGCUGGGCAAGACCGGUGCCAGCCGCCGCGGUAACACCGGCAGCUCUAGUGGUAGCAACUUUUAUUGGGCCUAAAGCGUCCGUAGCCGGUUUAAUAAGUCUCUGGUGAAAUCCUGUAGCUUAACUGUGGGAAUUGCUGGAGAUACUAUUAGACUUGAGACCGGGAGAGGUUAGAGGUACUCCCAGGGUAGAGGUGAAAUUCUGUAAUCCUGGGAGGACCGCCUGUUGCGAAGGCGUCUAACUGGAACGUUCUGACGGUGAGGGACGAAAGUUAGGGGCGCGAACCGGAUUAGAUACCCGGGUAGUCCUAACUGUAAACGAUGCGGACUUGGUGUUGGGGUGGCUUUGAGCUGUCCCAGUGCCGAAGGGAAGCUGUUAAGUCCGCCGCCUGGGAAGUACGGUCGCAAGACUGAAACUUAAAGGAAUU
rnacentral:rRNA from 1 species